AGUCAAAGGCAAAAUGACCCUUUAAGAGAGAAGAGGGUUUCCUCUCUCAAACCCUAGCCGCCUCAUUUGAGUUUCUCUCUCCUUCGUUGCUUUAUUGCCAAAAAUGGCGAUAGUGCAGGGGCCACAGGCCUUGCGACAAGCUUGGCGUGGCUAAAUAGGUAGCAUUAAAUGUGACACCAUGGGUUUUCACCAAACGCAACCCAAAGGGAAAAGAAGUGAAAUUCGACCGUUCAUGGCAUGAUUGGCAUCGAUCUGGUUCGUCUAUUUCAAAAUAUGUAAUGAAAUUGCUUGAGUUUUGGUUUAUCCCACAUUGAAAAAAUUAGGGUUUGGUUUAUUUGGGAACUCUAUAAAUAGAAGGCCUUUUUUUCAUUGUCAAAGAUAGCUUGCAAUCUGAAAAUCUCACUUUUGCAAAAGGAACUCGAAAUACUUGGGGUUUUUAAGUAUUCAAGACCCUUAAUUUUUUUUAUUUUUUUUUUGAGUUCAAGUGUAAGCUUAAAAUUUCAGUUUUUAUAUUCUUGUGUGGAGAAUAUUGGUUAAUUUGAGCUUUUGGGGGAACAUUAGAGGUCUUCCAAGUUCCAUCUCGACCUAAGGCUGCAUCAAAAAGAGAUUACCAGGAUAGAUCGACCUCUACUCUUCGUGGAUGAUAUUCGAGGAUUGCUUAUUUG